CCUACGGGUGGCAGCAGUAGGGAAUAUUGCUCAAUGGGGGAAACCCUGAAGCAGCAACGCCGCGUGGAGGAUGAAGGUUUUAGGAUUGUAAACUCCUUUUGUGAGAGAAGAUAAUGACGGUAUCUGACGAAUAAGCACCGGCUAACUCCGUGCCAGCAGCCGCGGUAAUACGUAGGGUGCAAGCGUUACUCGGAAUCACUGGGCGUAAAGGGUGCGCAGGCGGGCUUGUAAGUCAGAUGUGAAAGCCUGUAGCUUAACUACAGAACUGCACUUGAAACUAUGAGGCUGGAGUGUGGGAGAGGUAGGUGGAAUUCUUGGUGUAGGGGUAAAAUCCGUAGAUAUCAAGAGGAAUACUCAUUGCGAAGGCGACCUACUGGAACAUGACUGACGCUCAUGCACGAAAGCGUGGGGAGCAAACAGGAUUAGAUACCCUUGUAGUC
rnacentral:rRNA from 1 species